rnacentral:rRNA from 1 species
CCUUGACAUACUAAGAACUUUCCAGAGAUGGAUUGGUGCCUUCGGGAACUUAGAUACAGGUGCUGCAUGGCUGUCGUCAGCUCGUGUCGUGAGAUGUUGGGUUAAGUCCCGCAACGAGCGCAACCCUUUUCCUAUUUGCCAGCGGGUCAUGCCGGGAACUUUAAGGAUACUGCCAGUGACAAACUGGAGGAAGGCGGGGACGACGUCAAGUCAUCAUGGCCCUUACGGCCAGGGCUACACACGUGCUACAAUGGUCGGUACAAAGGGUUGCUACCUCGCGAGAGGAUGCUAAUCUCAAAAAGCCGAUCGUAGUCCGGAUCGCAGUCUGCAACUCGACUGCGUGAAGUCGGAAUCGCUAGUAAUCGCGGAUCAGAAUGCCGCGGUGGAUACGUUCCCGGGCCUUGUACACACCGCCCGUCACACCAUGGGAGUUUGUUGCACCAGAAGUAGGUAGUCUAACCGCAAGGAGGACGCUUACCACGGUGUGGCCGAUGACUGGGGUGAAGUCGUAACAAGGUAGGCGUAGAUGA